GUGCCUUCAGCGACACGUAAACAGAUCUUAAGCAAGGCGAUUGGAUGGUUUUUACUGCAAUGCAUCUUGGGAGUCGUAGUAAAUGGAUCUUUCAACUCACCGUCCAGCGAAUUUUUCGACUCGACACGAGGCAGAUCUUAGCUAGAAAUUAUAAAGCCAAAAACCAAACCAUGCCCUUCCUGUCAGGCUCCAAGCACCUGCAACAGGAAGACAUGCAGUGGAUGCCUGGGCAGCCUGAACGUAAAGGAGGGAUUGAAAAAAAAAAAACAAGAACAGCAACUGGGCUGCCUCUGUUAAAAAAAAACAGAAAUGCGAGCAGGGUGGUCAAUUCAGCCCAGUUAUCAGUAAGGUUUCAAAACUACAUGCCCUGCCAAUUCUGUUUCUUGGACAGUUUGACCGAAAGGGCCGUAUAGUAGGGGACGUGAUCACAUAGAGCCAGCGGAUGGUGCUGCACGUGACAUCCUCAUGAAGAUGAGGAAACUUUAUGAACACCUUCUGAGAAAAUUACAAGCUUCACCUCCUGCUAAAAAUUCUACACCAGCAGCUGGACCAUCCUCUGCUGACAGUGUCGAUGCUGGACCAGUCCCAGACCCAGAGGCUCUAAACGAGGAAUUUAUUCUUCAUUUAGAGCCUGAACCAACAUCUUCCCUCUGUCAGCCUCCUGUAUCCUCCUCUUCAUCUCUGCUUCCUCCUGCAUCCUCCUCUUCAUCUCCGCUUCCUGCAUUUCCCUCAAUUUCUACGGCGUACACCUCGGAUGUCCCAAACAAAAAAAGGACAAGGAAAGAAUGCCAAAAACACCGUACACAGAAGAUUUUCAAAUAUGAAGAGAUAGUAGACAGGAGAGUUGUAAAUGAAAAAGAAGUUAAAGUCAAGUGGAAGCCCUGCUCGAUAUGGUAUGUAGUAACAACUUUGUUGGACCGGAACAGACAUUUAUAUUGUUGAUAAAUAGUUCUCACCUCAGUUUGAAUUCAUGUAUUUGGACUAAAGUAAAUUGGGAGCUUUUAGCUUUUAGCUGAGGAGCUUGAUAGCAGUCCACCUCCAAAGUUCAUUAUGAGAUUUGGAGGUGGACAUGGUCAACACUUUUAAGAGUAGGCAUAAGACUUUACUUCUUUAUAGAGCUUAUAGUUAGGGCUGGUUCAGGUCAGCCUUUAGUUAUGCUGUCAUAGGACCAGACUGCUGUGGGUUAGUGUCCCCCCCCUCUCUCUCUCUCUCCUCUGUCUGUCUGUCUCUUUCAGGGUUAUGCAGGCUCAGUAUUGGUUGAAGAUGCAGUCACAUCUCCUUUUACUAAAAACUCUCCCCCUCUCCCUCACCAUCUGUAAGCAUACAUGUCUCAGUAAUGCAGUUCAUGCAUGUUGCUAACUAAACUUCUUCCCUGGAGUUUCUGUGCUCCAGCAGGUUCCGAUGGCUCGUGGCUGCUGCUGUGGUCCUGCUUGACAUCUACUCCAUAUAUUAUUACUCUCUGACUUGAUUUGAUUAAUUUAUAUUACAAUGAAGGUGUAUAAAGCAUGACAUGAAUAUAGAAAAUAUUUCAUCCUAAAAAAUUGUCAUAUGUCACAACCUAAAUUAUCCUAUUUUGUGUGUGGUUGUCGUUGUUGUUUAUGUUUUUCUCCUGACAGUGGCAAAGUGUGGGAUGACAGAUGAGAAUCUGCGCAGUUUUACACACAGUAAACCAGAUCCCUGUGUGCGAUCGCACAGUUCAGUUUGUAGUUCAGCAUAAAAGUUCAAAAUAAAAUAUUUACUAUACAUUUCA